CUACCUUUGAUAGAUUUGAUGUUUCUAGGGAACAAGGACUGUCGCCAGAAUGUUUUCUGCCCCUCACUCAGUUCUGGUCAUCUUCUUAAUACUUGGGCUGCAUGGAGAAGACCGAGUGGAGCAGAGUCCUCAGACCCUGAGAACCCAGGAGGGGGGCAGUCUCAGUCUCAACUGCAGCCACACCGUCAGGGGUUUCAGAGGGCUACAGUGGUAUAGACAAGACCCUGGGAAGGGCCCUGAACUCCUCUUCCUUCUUUACUCAGCUGGGGAUGAAAAGCAGAGAGAAAGACUGAGAGCCACCUUGUUAAAGAAGGGAAGUUCUCUGCACAUCGAAGCCCCCAAACCCGAAGACUCAGCCACUUACCUCUGCGCUGUGCAGACACAGUGCUCCCCAGGCACCUGCAGACCGUACCCAAACCCUGAGGCUGCAGCUCUAGAGUAA